rnacentral:rRNA from 1 species
GACGAACGCUGGCGGCGUGCUUAACACAUGCAAGUCGAACGGAGCUGUUUAUUUCGGUAGAUAGCUUAGUGGCAAACGGGUGAGUAACGCGUAGGCAACCUGCCCUUAGGAUGGGGACAACGGCCCGAAAGGACCGCUAAUACCGAAUGGACUCUAACUUUCGCAUGGAAGAAAGAGAAAAGAUGGUGCAAGCCAUCGCCGAAGGAAGGGCCUGCGUCUGAUUAGCCAGUUGGUGAGGUAACGGCUCACCAAAGCGACGAUCAGUAGCCGGUCUGAGAGGAUGAACGGCCACAAUGGGACUGAGACACGGCCCAUACUCCUACGGGAGGCAGCAGUGGGGAAUCUUCCGCAAUGGGCGAAAGCCUGACGGAGCAACGCCGCGUGAGUGAAGAAGGUCUUCGGAUCGUAAAGCUCUGUUGUUGGGGACGAAAGGGAAGGGGAGG